rnacentral:tRNA from 1 species
GAUAUUGCCAUCAAAUGUAGCUCAACGCCACCACCACCAACAACACGGGUGUUUUCGAA